CUUCUUUCUCCUUUUCUUAUUCCUUCUCUUCAUCUCUUUUUUCUUCUUCCUUCUCUUCAUCUGGCUGAUGUUUCCCCAUUUUGGCAGUAUCAUCCUCCAAAUGUAGGGAUCUCACAUCACCUCCAGAGCAGCUAGCUUUGUCAGACAUUGGAUUUUUGGGGCUUUGGCUAAUUCUUGGUUUAAGCAUGCUUGGAUCAAAAUUGGGAAUUAAUUGGGAAAGCUGACUCAGGAAAUGCUCCCUCUCAGCCUCUACCAAUUGUUUUGUCCUAGCCUCCAUCCUUAAGGCUUCUUCCCUUGCCUUAGCCUCCAUCUUUUUAGUCUCUUCUUGAAGGAGAACUCUUAAACUGUCCUUCAAACGGUCGUCAAAGCUCACCCUCUGUGGUUUGGGCAAAUUGAAAUAUUGCCUUGGGGAAACACCAGCACCAACUCUCCUCACUCUGCCUGGAUGCUCGGGGCCCAAAGCCAUGGUCAGCACAUCAUUGCUGCCAUCUACUCUGACUUUGCCUUCCGAGACUUGUUUCUGCAAUUCAUCCUAAAACAAAGAUAAACAAAAAAACACACGACGGUUAUUUAUUUACAAACGACGUAUUAUAUAAUUUCACACGACGCAAUAACGUAUAAACCGACGUUAUUAUAACUUAUCACGACGGUAGUUAUACCGACGUGGUUAUUUAUUUAAAACGACGAAAUGAAUAAACAACCGACGUCUUAUGCUAUAAUUAAAGAAAACAGAGUAGUGAUUCCUAUUUAGACCGUUAACGACGUUUUUAAAAAAGUUUCGACGUGGUAAUAUCAUUCAAACGACGCGAAAAUGAACCACCGACGUCUUAUGCUAUAAUUACAGAAAAUUAGUAGUGAUUCCUAUUUAGACCUUUAACGACGUUUUUAAAAACUUUUCGACGUGGUAAUAUCAUUCACACGACGAAAAAUAUAACAUACGACGUAAUAAGAAUAAUUCACAGUUUAAUAAAAAUUUAAAACAGAGUGAUAGUAGGCUUACAAUUAAUUUUGCUUUCUCUGCCACCUUUGGAUCAGGGAUGUUACCAUGUUUGUCCUGUCUAGCUCUCUUCCAUAAGGUAGAUCGAUCAAUUUCUACCCCAGGCAUGGUUUCCUCCAAUUGAUCCUCCAAUCCAGCAUAUCCUUUUCGAGACAAUCGAUGAUUGUACUCGAGUUUCUUCCUAAUCUGUGCAUGUUGAGAAUGCACAGACUCAAAAUCUUUGGAUAGCCUUGAAGCUACAAAGGCAUCCCAUUGUGCUUUCUCUAUGAAUUUAUAUGUUUCAGGGGGUUGGCUUAAUUUCUCCCUGUCAUUGGUGUAUGGAAGGAUAUAAUGCCUCGUUAGUGUAGACUUGAAAUCCUUCCAUUUCUGGAAGCAGAAGCUAAAACAGAGGUCUUGCCCCCUUGGCCUACGACAAAAGCCAUGUCAACUGCUUCCCAAAUCUGCUCCUUUAUAUCCUUGGGGAUUUGGGACCAUUUCUUGUCCACAAGUGGGAUCCUGGAGCGUGCCAACACACCAAUAUACGACUGCAUCUCAAUAUGUGCUUGGCCAACACCUUUCCCCCUUUUAUUGUACUCAACAAUUGGCCUCAGUUUCUGAAGCUUUCUCUUCACAACACGAGGCAUUGUGCUCAUACCUCGACCAGUCUUUGAAUCAUCAGAGAUUGUUGUCUGGCUGGUUGGUUCUGUCUCAGCAGAUGAUGAAGCAAACUUCAUCUUCUUCGAAGACUUCAUCUCCUUCGAAGACUUGUCUUGAGGAGCUACCAUUCCAAGCUUCUUGGAGCCAGAAUCCUUAGUUUGUUGUUGAGAAACCAUUUUAACAGACAAAACUGCAAGUGAAAAUAUUUCAGGAAAACAUUAAGAACACAAACGACGGUAUUAAAAAAAUACGACGUAUGAUAUGAUUUUAGACGACGCAAUGAAAUAAUCUCAGACGUAAUAAAUGUUUAAAACCAUUAUUUAUAUAACGUCGUGGUAUAUAUGUUCACACGACGUCAAUAGUAAUACACCGUCGUGGUAAACUAUUAUUUAUAUAACGUCGUGGUAUUUAUGUUCAUACGACGUUAAUAGUAAUACACCGUCGUGGUAUUAACAUUCACACGACGUAAAACAAUAAGAUAUUUUGUCGUCUAUAUUAGAUACCAACCCUAGUUUCUUUUUCUUUAUAUUUUAUCAAAUAAGGGAAAAACAAAAACCAUUGUUCAGAGAAAUCAAACCUGCAAUUAAACAAGCAUAUAAAAAAAGACUAUUAUUUUAAAAACAACUUUGUCAAUUUUCAGACGACGCUAGAACAACUGACGAACCGUCGUGGUCUACCGUCGUCUUAUUUAGUUGAGGUAGUUGUCUUCAAAGUUGGAAACUUUCCCUCUUUGUCUGUAUAUUUUAUCAAAUUUGGAAAGAAGUACAAUGAUUUUGGCCAGAAAAAAGGUAAAAAGAUUUUUCAAACAAAAAACGUAUGAGCAUGCAAAACAGUAACCAAAAUAGUGAAAAUGAAAGCUUACCUUUUGCGUGCAAUGAAAGCAAGAGGAAGAUGAUCGAUGUUUAAGUUCAAGGACGACGAAGAAGACGAGAGGAAGACGAUGAGAAACUCUGACAAUGCUCUGACAAGGAAAAAAGACGAAAAGGUUUCUCUGGAGAUUGAAAUUUUUAAUCGGGUUUGGAAACAGUGCAUGUGUAAGUUCAAAAGUUGCUUACAUAUAAAACCAUUUCAAAAAAAUAAUACGGCGGUUACAUUUAACUACGUCGUUUUUAACUAACACGACGAAAUAUUUUUCGUUCGACGUGGAAUCAUUUCAUUUAACGUCGUUAGGUUUAAUAUAACCGACGUGGAUUUUAAUUUUUAAAUUAUGAAUAUAAUUUUUUUUCCCGUGACCUUUCAGUUUAUUUUUCAAUUACAGUGCGUUAUAAAUAGAGUUCUUUUUCCAGAGGAAAUUUAAAACGAAGGAAAUUAAUAUUCUGCAAUAUGUAAAGUUUCUUUUUUGGAUGACAGAUUUAAAUAAAAUAAGAAUAUAAAAAUAACUAAUGUGUAAGUCAAGUAGACGAAAAGUUGCUUACAUAUAAAAUCAUUUCAAAAAAAUAAUACGGCGGGUACAUAUAACUACGACGUAUAAAGUACAAAAUACGACGGUAAAUUUAACUUCGGACGUGGUAAAUAAAUACGACAGUAGUGUUGUAGGUACCGUCGUAGUAAACUCAAAAAUUAAAGUACAUAAGUAAUAACUCGCGUCAUGGUAGAUUAUUUAAGACGUCGUGAUUAUUAAUGUACCGACGUGGAGUUCUGUAAUAUACGUCAGUAAUACCGACGUUGAUUUUACAAUUUAAACGGCGGUUUUUUGGUAAGGACCGCCGUUGGUUUUAAAAAUUUAUUCUAUAAAUUUGUCGCUUUCAUUCAUUUUCGCGGUUUACAUUUAGGGUUCCAAGUUCUUCCUCUCUCAGAGACACUGUCUCUCACAUCUCAAAGACAAUAAUUUGGAGGUCUUUCUCAAAGAGAAAUUGAGCUUACAUUUAGGCUAGUUGACAAGAAGAAGCUUGUCAACUAGCCUUCUCACUUCCUUGAUCAAGCCUGAUAGGACACUUAGUGCUUCUGAAUACUCCUUGCUUUCCAUCAAAAGAGAUGCAAGCCUGGCCUCCACUCGUUGUCGAAGGAAAGUUCGCUUCUCAGGGAAAUCUGAAAAUCAGAUGUGCUUGAUCCUCUGCUUGAUUUUUUUGACUAAGAAGAUCCGUCAGAUUUAAGCAUGAGCAAUCGAAUCCGUAGAGCUUCAGAAGAAGAAGAAGACAUUGUCAAUGCUUUGAACUAUACAAGUCUGCAGAAAGAUAAAGGACCAAACUGUUAAAGAAACUGAAACAACGGCGGUUUUCUGUUCUACCGUCGUCUUUUCUCGUCGUCUAUAUUAAGGUAAGAUGGCGGUAGAUUUAUAAUUACCGACGUAGAUUAUUUUGUUAAACGUCGUUAAGUGUACUACAACCGACGUGGAUUUUAUUUUUAAAUUAUAAAUAGAGUUUUUUUUCCAGACUUCUUUCAGUUUUAGUUUUCAAUUACAAAGCGUGAUAAAUAGAUUUUUCUUUCCCGAGGAAAUUUAAAAUGAGGGAAAUUAAUGUUCUAGAAUUUGUAAACUAACACGACGCAAUAUUACUAACCCGAGGAAAUUAUAAAUAGAUUUUGCUUUCCUGAAGAAAUUUUAAAUUAAUUCAGUUUGAAACAAAACGACGGUUUUUUGUUAUGCCGUCGUUUUUAACUAACACGACAGAUUUAAAUAAAAUAAGAAUAUAAAAACAACGACUGUUUUUUUACUACUGUCGUCGUUUUUCGUCGUCUUAAGUAAGACUAAGACGACGUAAUAUAUUUGUUGAGCGACGUUGAUUUGUUUUUAAACGUCGUUAGGUAUAAUAUAACCGUCGUUGAAAAUUGUCUCUCUGAUUGCAAAUUUGCAACGACGUUGAUCAACUUCCAAAAAAUUGUCUCUCUGAUUGCAAAUCUGUGUCAUCUGUUAAGAUUAUUUUGUAUUUUAAAGCCGUGGAUUUGUUUGUAAUUAUACGGCGUCUUAUACGAAAACCUCGUCGUGUUAUUUUAUGAGUAAAAACGGCGGCUUUUAUUGAAAUCGUCGUCUUUACUUUCUACGUCGGUCUAUUCAUAACUUCUGCCGUUCUUUGUUUGCUUUGAUUUUACAUUGCGGAAAUCUGUUUCAAAUAGACGUCGGUUGUUUAAUUAGGUACGUCGUUGUUUUUGAACAGCCAUUUGAAUCUCCAUUUUUUAGUUGUCUAAGGUGGUAUUACACGACGGUGUUUUUAGAACCGUCGUCUUUUUAAAAACCACGACGGUUUUCACUUAGACCGUCAUUGUUUUCUGGUCGUCUUUUUCACUUUUUGUAGUAGUGUGGAAAACCAACUAGACCUAAAGAUAAAAGUUGUAAGGCCUGACAGAGGAGGAGAGUUCUAUGGGAGAUUCGAUGAGCUUGGAGGAAUCUUGGUCCUUUUGCAAGGUUUCUAUAGCAAGAAGGAAUCAUUGCUCAAUACACUAAUCCAUAGACUCCACAGCAAAAUCGAAUUGCAUAGAGGAGAAACAGAACUCUAAAGGAUAUGAUAAGAAGCAUGAUGUGAUGCACAAACUUACCAAUUUUUCUGUGGGGAGAAGCUUUGAACACAUCAAAUCACAUACUCAAUCGAGUACCAAACAAGGGUAUCAACAAUAUCCCUUAUGAAGUUUGGAAUAAGAAAAAAUUACGCUUGAAACAUUUGAAAACAUAGGGCUGCAAGAUAGAGGCAAAGCUUUAUAACCCUAUGGAAAAGAAGCUGGAUUCGAGAACUGUAAGUGGUUAUUUCAUAGGAUAUCUAGAUAGAACUAAAGGAUACAGAUUCUAUUGUCCUAAAAACACUACCAGAUUUGUAGAAACUCAGAGGGCAAUGUUUAUAGAAUCUGAAGGUGAGACAAUCGAAGAUGAAAAUUUUGAGUUUGAUGAAGAUAUUGCAGAAACUGGGGAAACAAUACAAACUGACAUUUUGGUGUUACUAAGUUUUGACUUGAAUGGCAAACAAAACAACCAAGAAGGGCAAACUGGUACAGACCCUAUGGUCACUGAAGAAGAAACUCAAGAAAAUCAAGUUUUACUACCCGAAAAUCAAGAUGUAGUUCAAACACAAGAAGGAACUAAUAAUCAGACAAAUGCAGGACUAAGAAGGUCAGAAAGACCAAAGAAACGUGCUUUACAUAAUGAUUAUGUUUACCUUCAAGACUCAGAGCAUAAUGUGAAUGACAUUGAGGAUCCUAUGAACUUCAAGCAAGCAAUGAUGAGUAACAAAAAUGAAAAUUGGUGGGCUGUUUUGAAAUCAUAAUUAGGUUCCAUGGAAAAUAAUGGAGUUUGGGAGCUUGUGCCUUUACCAUAAGGGAGCAAACCAAUUGGCUACAAGUGAGUGUUCAAAACCAAGAGAAAUUCGAAGGGGUGGAUAAAUAGAUAUAAGGCUAGAUUGGUUACUAAGGGGUUCACACAGAAAGAAUGAAUUAAUUUCAAUGAGACCUAUUCACUUGUCAUAACAAAAGACUCCUUGCAAGUGAUCAUGGCACUAGUAGCUCAUUUUGAUUUACACUUGCCUCAAAUAGAUGUUAAGACUACAUUCUUGAAUGGAAACUUGGAGGAAGAAAUUUAUAUGCAACAACCAGAAGGUUUCAUUCAAGAGAAUGGAGAAAAUCUGGUUUGCAAGUUGUGUAAAUCAAUCUAUAGUCUAAAACAAGCAUCUAGAGAGUGGUAUAAGAUUCAAUGAAGUUGUUAAACUAUAUGGUUUUACAGAGAAUGUCUUAGAUAAGUGCAUUUACAUGAAGAUGAGUAGGAGUCACUUCAUAAUUCUGAUUCUUUAUGUAGAUGACAUUCUGCUAGCUUGCACCAACAUGUCCAUGUUACACGAUUGCAAGGCAUUCCUGGCUAAACAUUUCGACAAUGACAGAUUUGGGAGAAGCCUCAUACAUUUUAGGAAUCGAAAUUAGCAGAAAUAGAAAGAGAGGUUUGUUGGGACUAUCAUAGAAAACUUAUAUAGAAAAGAUACUCAAAAGGUUUAACAUGCAAGGCUGUGCAAGGUCAGAUGUGCCUAUUUCGAAGGGAGAUAAAUUUAGUACUAAUCAAGCACCAAAGACUGAUCAAGGAAAGCUUGAGAUGGCAGAUAAACCUUAUGCAUCAUUAGUGGGGAGUCUCAUGUGUGCACAAGUAUGCACAAGACCUGAUAUUACUUUUAUAGUAAGUGUAUUGGGAAGAUUUUAGUCAAAUCCUGGACAAGCAUAUUGGAUUGCUGGUAAAAGAGUCAUGAGAUAUUUGCAGAGAACAAAAGACUAUAAGUUGGUUUACAAAAGAAGUGACAGACUGGAAGUAGAAGGUUAUGCUGAUGCAGAUUUUGCAAGUUGCAAAGAUGACUUGAAAUCUACAUUAGGAUAUGUUUUCCUAUUUGAGCAGCAAUAUCAUGGAGAAGUAACAAGCAACCACUCACAAUUGCAUUGACUAUAUUGGCAGAAUUUCUGGCUUGUUAUGAAGUAACCACUCAAGCUAUGUGAUUAAAGAACUUUAUCACUAGUUUGGGUGUGGUUGAAUCAAUUCAACAACCUAUACAUCUUUGGAAUAAUAACAGUGCAAGAGUACUUUUUGCAAAAGGGAAUAAAAGAACAAAGGCAUCAAGAAUUCUGGAAGUUAAAUUCUUUGCUGUCAAAGAAAAGACUAGAGAUGGGCAUACUGUGUUGGAGCACAUUGGCACAAAUGAAAUGGUUGCAGAUCCACUUACUAAGGGGUUACCAAAUGUUGUUUUUCACAGACAUGUGAUUAGCUUGGGAUUGACAGUUCAUUUGGAUGACUAAAACAAUGGGAGUUUUAUCAAGUUCUGGUAGUUUAACUAGUUUUGCUAUUUUCUAUUUAAAUUCAUAGAGUGGUGUUUUAAUUUGGAUGAUUUUCAGUUUAAGGAUUCGAAUAUAGUAUAUUUAUGCAAUGUAGUUUAUAUGCACAUGUGAUUACUUGAAUAUGUGUGGGUGGCAUAGCAUGCAUUUAAGCUAGCCAUGAGAAGAUUGUAUUCAUGACAGUUUGUAAUUUUUGUUAUGCAAAUUGAGACCUUGUUAGUCAUUUAUAGGGACAAAGGAAUUAGAUGACUUUUGUUUAAAGCACUUUCAGUAAGGUCAUCUACAUUCUAAAGUUUUAAUCUUGAUCGAAGCCUUAUGUGGUGUUGAAGAGUUUUAAGUGUGAAUAUAAAGACUUUGAUAACUGUAUGAUCAAUAAGUCUCUUAUAAUUUUUCUUCAUUAACAACUUAGUGGGAAUUUUAUCUGGAUAUACUUUCACAAGGCCUUAAAGUGAUCAAUACGAGUUUUCCUUAGCGAUUAUUUAACCAAGUGGGAGACUGUAAGACAAAUCCGUGUCUUAGUCUAAAUUGUGGUCUUCUAAUCAUAUCUGGUUUGGAGGAGCUCUAAUUGAUCAGGAAGUAUUAAUCCUAAUACAAGUAGGAUACUCAAUCAAACAGUGCGUUUACAUUGAGAUAGGAGUAUCUUAAGGAUUCCUAAUUCUAUAUGGAUUAAAACAUCCAAUUCCUAAGUAAACAAAAUCUGUUUGAGUACUCCUUGAUGGGUAAGGUACCGGAACAGAUGCUUAUAAAUAAGGUCCCUUUUGUAUCGGCUAAAAUACACUCAUAACAGAAAACUCACCCCAUCCAGAGAUAGAGAUAAAGAGCCGAGUUGGAGAAGAAGAUUCUUAUUCACAAUGUCUGAUCAAGGUUAGUAUUUGAGAUUCAAAGACAUGAUAACUUAUAGUAUAUAUGGGUUGUUAAGAUUUUAUCCAGAGAUUCAAAGAAAGCUUUUUUCUUUUUAUUAAACCCUUUUCAUCUUUUUCAAUGGUGCACAGUGCAAUAUCCGAGUGGGGAAAUUGGGAAAUUAAAGGAUGAAAAAUAAUAAUUGGGGCAUGCCAAAUUGGCAAAUGCGUAAAGGAGAUGAAGCCUAUCAAAAACAUCAUUUGUUGGCAAUGGAAACUGCAGGAUGAUUGGAAGUUAAGCCAUCUAAAAUCUCCAUCAGUAUCUCUCACUCACUCAUCUUUUGGGACAGAUUCCAGCUUUCUUCCACCACCCACUACAACCUCUCUGUCUACCCCACACCCAAGCAAGAUUCCAAUUAAUCAUCUUCGCUCUCUGAUAAAAGAUUCCUGCUGUUAAUUUAUUCGCACCAGAAAUUAGGGAUGGCCCAUUCACAAUCAAACAAACACAAGAUAACUUUGCUGGACCGCUCAUUUUCUUUAAUUCUACUAAGGCAAUUACAUUAUUGUGACAACGAUUGUCUUAAUCUCAAAUAUCUUCAAGUACAGAAAUGAUAAGUAUUUAGUCUGGAUCAUAAGAAUAUAGUGGUAAAUACAAUUAGUUUCUACCUCAACCUUUUUGAGGCAUUUCGACGAACUGUUUAAGGAAAAUAUCAAUAGAUAACUGAAUUGAUGAGCCAGAUUAAGAACAUAGAUGUCCGAGUGCAGAAUAUAGUAAUUUAUAAACAAAUGAAAAUAGUAUUUUUCCAGUAAUAAUUUUUGAAAAGAACUAAUGAUAGAGACCAAUUGUUUAAAUUAAACAACACUUUGUUUUCUUGUAAUACUUUCAAUUAGUUGGAUGAUUGGUGUGGUCUUCGUGGACUCAGUUGUUAGUUGGAUAAUUAGUUAAACGACUAUAAUUAGAUGUUUUAAAUAGCUUUCAAUUGUCUAAUAUUUCAUAAAAAUCAACUGUAAAUUACGACUCAGAUGGUUGAAAUACAAUUUACUUCAAAAUAACAAAUUAUUCAACGUGUUGAGAAUGUUGUAUAUGGAGUCUACAUAGACUUGACUAGUUGGGUGUUAGGCAAUUAUGAAUUGAAAAUAUUUGUCAUCAGUAAAUGCUUGGAAAUUAAUGCCAUGUUUGGUAUGUCUCAUUAUGUCUUAUUGGACUGGACUGUGUUGUAUAGUACUUGAAAUCCAUAUUUGAUAAUGGAGGGGAUUAACUUAAAUGGGAUUAUAUAGUUCAUCAGUGUAAAAAAGCUCCGGACUCACUUGUCUAAUAUAGCAAUGCUGAAAUGUGGUUCGUAAAUUAGCGAGAACGCUAUUUUGAGCAUGCAGUCCAACCCUUGGCUUGAAUUACAACUUUUUUUUUAAUGAAAUAGGAAGGAAAAAAAAAACACGAUAACAAAAAGAAAAGAGAGAGAGAGAGAGAGAGAGAGAGAGAGAGAGAGAGAGAGAAAUGCUAGGAAAAAAAAUAAAAACAGAAAAAGAGAGAGAAAUUAAUAAAAUAAUUAUUUUUUAGUCCGACACAGAAUCAAACAUAGGUCUUCACUAUUUUUACAAUUCAACUAUUUAAUCCGACGUAACACCAAAAGUAGCUCAAUAUUUAAUCCAGCUUACGCCAAACGAACCCUAAGCCCGAUAACCCCAGUUGACAUCGUCCCUGUCUCCAAUUAGCCUAUAUAAGGCCAAGGGUAUGCUUACAUUACAGCAGCAACUCAAUAAUCUAGAGGUAAUCUUGUUAAUUAUUCAUGGAAACUCCCAUUAUUUUUAGCUCCUCCUUCCUUAGGUUUUUCAUGGGUUUCUUCUCUGUACUUCUAUGCCUAAUUCUCUGCUCUUUCGAGAACGGAUUUGCUUCGGCAGCAAGAGAUACAAAACCCCACCUUCUGCCACAUACCACUCACACAGUUGAAGUAAACUCUCUUCUACCAGCAACCACCUGCAGCCCCUCCACCAAAGGUUAAUUCAUCCCAUAUUAUAUAUAUAUAUAUAUAUAAAACUUAAUUUCAAUGCAUUUAUGUAUCUCUAACACACACUCUCUCUCUCUAUGCAUACAUGUUUCGAUGAUCUCAGGUCAUAACAAUAACAAGGCAUCAUCGGUAUUGAAAGUGGUGCACAAACAUGGGCCAUGCUCCAAAUUCCACAAAUCAUCAAAAACUUCAACCACAACUAGUGAUGAAAAAUACCAUGCUCAAAUCCUCAAGCAAGACCAAGCCCGAGUCAACUCCAUCCACUCCCGCCUCAACCACAACAACAACAGCAGAAUCAAAGACCCACUCACCCAAUCCGCUGCUACCACCCUCCCCGCCAAGUCCGGUAUUGUUAUCGGCUCACCGAACUACAUUGUCACCGUCGGCCUCGGUACACCCGCCAAGCAACUCUCCCUCGUCUUCGACACUGGCAGCGACCUCACCUGGACCCAAUGCAAGGCAUGUUCUGCUACUCAGUCUUGUUACAAUCAGACUGAGCCCAUCUUCGACCCUUCUCUCUCCGCCUCAUACAAAAAUAUCUCAUGUACCACCGCCGCGUGUACUCAGCUCUCAUCCUCCGGCAUCGAACACCGCUGCUCCGCCUCCACCUCCGCCUGCCUCUACGCCGCCGGGUACGGAGACAUGUCCUUCACUAUCGGGGUCUUUGGCAGCGAAAAGCUUACAUUGACCCCCACGGACGUUUUUGAAGGUUUCCUCUUCGGCUGCGGCCUAGAUAACGAAGGCCUUUUCAGCGGAUCCGCCGGUUUGCUCGGUCUCGGCCGGAGCAGCACCUCCCUCGUCGAACAAACCGCCAAUAAAUACAACCGGUUCUUCUCCUACUGCCUCCCGUCUACUUCCAGCUCCACCGGUCACCUCACCUUCGGAGACGGAGGCUCCGCUAACGGCGUUAAGUUCACGAAGCUCAUCACGUCAUCCCAAAGCGAGUCGUUUUACGGCCUCGGCCUCGCCGGCAUCAAAGUCGGUGGGAGCCAGCUGUCGAUUGAGCCCUCAGUCUUUUCGUCUUCUGGAACGAUCAUCGACUCGGGGACUGUGAUCACGCGGUUGCCGGCGACGGCAUACGCGGCGUUGCGGGGCGCGUUUCGGGAGGCGAUGAAGAACUACACGCUGACUGAGUCGUUUUUGUUGCUGGACACGUGUUACGAUUUCAGCGGCUUGAACACGGUGACGUAUCCGAAGAUAGCGUUUAUGUUUGGGGAUGGACUUACGGUGGACUCGGACGCGACCGGGAUAUUGCUUCUGAUAAGUCCUUCGCAGGUUUGCUUGGCGUUUGCCGGAAACGAGGAUGAUAGUGACUUUGGGAUUAUUGGGAAUGUUCAACAGAAGAGGUUGGAGGUUGUGUAUGACGUCGCUGGAGGAAAAGUCGGAUUUGCCCCUGAAGGUUGCCCUUGAGUAAGGGAAAUACCCAUGUAGUUCUUAUUUUCUAGAUACUGGCCCCUGGCACAUGCAUGAUCUUGUGUCAAUUGGUUUUCUUUUAAAUAUAUAUUGUUUUUAGAAUUAAGAAAAGGUAAUAUAAAUAGUUAUGUUCUAUAAAAGUAGAAUCUAUUAUCUGAUUUUAUUUUAAUAUGAAUUUAUCAUAUUAUCCUUAUUUAAUUAAUAAUUUCAAUUUUUAAUGUUUGUAUUAAUUAAGGGCAUUUUUUGGUAUUUUAAAUAAUUUACCAUUCUCUGCAUUGCUUUAUAUAUAUAGAUAAUUUAACUAUUUCUAAAUAUUUAAGAUAAACCCAAAUUCGAAAUUUGCUGUCAUUUAAGAUAAUAUUUGUCCUAGUAUUAUCAAUUAAAUUACAAUAUGUGCCAUUAACCUUCGUUUGUUUGCAACUGUACAUUGAUUCUUUUCCUAAUAAACACUGUAUAGUCUCUUGGAUGCAUGAUCCCUUCCUUGCCGUAAAUUUGUAUUGAUUUCAUAAAAAGUAAUAAUCAAAAUAAUUGAUGUACUGAUUGGAAUUUGUUUUUAUUAUAUAUAAAUGGCACGUAUAUUAUUUUUACAAUGUGCCUACAAUGGUGCUCAUUUUUAAAUAAAAAUAAUUUACCUGUAUGACAUGUACUUAUAUUGUACCUUAUUAUCUUUUAUUGAUAAUAGGAACAUUAUGUAUUUUAAAAAGAGGUACGUUAUCUUAUAUUGAUAAUGUCAAUUUAUCUAUUAUCUCUUAUUGAUAAUAAUUUGGGAGAUUUUGGAAAAGCCCAAAGGAGAGAGAAAAUUUUUAAAAGAAGCCGAAAUGGACAAAAUUGCCCUUAUUUAUUUUUUGAUUUCUUAAGGAAUCUUUUACAUUUGCAUGUCUUUGGUUUGAAAGUUGAGAGGUUUUUCUGUCUUUUUUGAAAAAGCUUUGGCUUUUUUCAAAAGUGAAAAUUUUUUUAUGGGUAAAACCUAAAUUUACUUAAUAAAUAAUUUACCUAUUAUCUUGUACUAGCCUCUUUGCGUGCGCUUCUGCGCUUGCGAGAGGAUUUUUUUUAAAAAAAAUUUAUUUUAGAAUUAAAAAAGAUAAUUGGUAGUUGUGUUUCAUAAAAAUAGGAUCCAUUAUUUGAAUUUUCUUUUAAUUUUAUUUUUUUAAUAUGAAAAAGUGUGAAUUUACUAUAAUAUCCUCAUUUAAUUAAUAAUUUCAAUUCUUAAUAUUUGCAUUAACCAAUGGCAUUUUUUGGCAUUUUGAAUGUUUUAACAUUCUCUGCCUUUUGCUUUAUAUAUAUAGAUGAUAAUAGGUAAAUUAUUUUUAUAAAAUAUUUGGUACAUUAUUUUCAAAAAUGCGUUAAAUGAGUUGGGUAUAUUAUUUAAAUCAUAAGUAAAUCAUAAUAAAAAAAUGAUGCAUAAAGAGUAUUGAAUUGCAGUUACCAAAAAAACAAGUACUGAAUUGCAGGCUAAUUCCAGGUACUAAGACUUAAUACACCUACCAUAUAACAGGUUAAUUUGUAAAUAGGGGUAGUUUUGGAAUCUGAAAAAUAUAAUAAAUCAUAUUUUAAGUUAGAUUAGGUAACUUGCUUAGUUGGAUCUUAGUCAUAAGGUUUUAUUUGAAAAAAUUGGAUAUUUUAAAUAGAAAAAUAAAGAGAAGAACUACAGGUGAUUAAAAAUGAAUUUUAUGAGUCUAAGCUUAAUUUACUAUUCUUUUUUUAAUAUAACAUUUGUGUUUUAAAAAGCAAAAGGAAGACAAUAUGGUUUUUAUUUUUGUAUUGAAGUGAUAUUAUAAACUGAACCUAGAACUUUAGAUAUGGAAUAAAUAUUCUUAACAACUCGAAAAACAGCAGUUUGAAGAAAGAUUAGUGAACAUUCCAAAGUUUGGUGUACGGAUAUAGUUAAACUGAUUGUUUGAUCAGUUUAACUAUGGACUCUGUUGACUCAUUGACUUUGGGACCCAUGAGUAGUCGUGAGUCGUGACUAGGAAGGAACAGAAACGCAUGCAUGAUGCAUGCAGUACCUUCCUUCCAGACUCCGAGUCCACUUGGUAUUAAUUACACUAUUGACAUAUUGUAUGCAUAAUGUAUGUAUGUGUAUUGACAGAGAACCUUCUUACCUUCAUUUUCAUUUUUUGUCUUUUCCUUGAAAGAUAAUUAACAUAAGAGAACGGGUGGACAAAGUCGAUCGACCAAAAAAUGACAACAAAAAAAUUGUAACGGGUUAGGGCGGGGUUUGAGAACGAUGGUAUGGAGCAAAUGCUAGAAAAUUAAACCCUCCAAAUAGUUUAUAUAAGGCCAAUAGUAUGCUUAAACUUAAAUCUACAGCUAGCUAGGCUUGUUAACUAUAUUCAUUUCUAGCUCCUCCUCUUUCCUCAGGUUUUUUCAUGGGUUUCUUCUCUGUGUUUCUGUUCCUAAUUCUCUGCUCUUUCGAAAAGGCCAUUAUUGCUCUGGCAGCAACAAGUCCAGAACCCCACCUUCCGCCACACACUACUCACACAGUAGAAAUAAACUCUCUUCUACCAGCAACCACCUGCACCCCCUCCACCAAAGGUUAAUUCAUUUCAAACCCCAUUUUAAUUACGCUGUUAAUUCUCUCUCUCUCUCUCUCUCUCUCUCUCUCUCUCUCUCUCCCCCUAUAUAUAUAUAUAUAUAUAUAUAUAUUCAAUAUUCAUAUAUUGUCUGGCUAUAUACGCUGUUAAUUCCAAUGGCGCAUGGGAGUAGAGACUGUGAAAUUCCCUCUAAUAUUCAUAUGCAUAGAAAAACAUACACAUUUUUUUUUUAAGUUUAGCAUAUUAAACUUAUACACACUACACAAAUGCUAUGACUCAACUCUAGAACCUUCCAUAAAAAAGCUAUUAUUCUAAAUCACUACACUAGUUGAUCUUUUUUUUUUAAAAAAAAAAACACACAUAAAGAGCCCCGUGCUUGGCCAAAAAAAAAUCUAAACCAAAUUUACUCUUUUUUUUUAUUUAUAGUAAAUUGAGCUUAGACCAAUAAAAUUCAUUUUAAGUUACCUACAACCCUUUCCUUUAGUUUUCUAUUUAAAAUACCCAAUUUUUUCAAAUAAUACCCGAUGAUUAUGAUCCAACUAAGCAAGUUACCUAAAAUAACUUAAAAUUUGAUUUAUUGUAUUUUUCGGAUUCCAAAACUACCCAUAUUUAUAAGUUAAUAAGUUAUAGGGGGUGUAACUAAUGACACCCGUUGAAUUUAGAAAGAUCUCCAAAUAGUUAUAAUGGAUGUAGGAACUAAUUCAAAAAUUUAUUUGAAAUUAAAUAUUAAAUUCCACAUUGAAGUAUUAUUAAUCUAUUUUACGACUAGUAAUCUAUUUUUGAAUUAAUGGUGUUUUUCUUCUAUGAAUUACGACUAGUAAUCUAUUUAAAGUAUUAGUAAUUUAAAUUCAAUAUUAAAUUUAGGAAUUAAUGUUGUUUUCUUUUUAUGAAUUAUACGACCGGUAUUCUUUUUAUUAUAGUUUUAUGAAUAAUAGUGUACGUUCUAAUUAUAUUGAAAAAUAAUUUGAUAAUCUAUUUAUUGUUUUGUUUUUAAAAUAUUUUUUUUAAUGAACCUAUUUUUCUCCAAAUAUUGUACCUAUUUUUUUCUUUUUUAUUGUUUUAUGAAAAUAUAUUUGAUCAUAUUUUUAUUGUUUGUUUUAUGAAAAUAUUUUUUUUACAUGAGCCUAUUUUUUCUCUCAAAAUAAUGUAUCAAUUUUUUUUCCUCUAAUAAUGUACCUAGUAAAACAAUUUACCUAGUAUGAUGAACCUAUUUUUUCUGCUGAAUUUUGUAUCUAUUUUUUUCUAUAAAUAAUGUACCUAUUUUUUUUCUCUAAUAAUGUAUACCUGGUAAAACAAAUUUUCUAGUAUAAUGAACUUAUUUUUUUCUUCUAAAUAAUGUGCAUAUUUUUAAUUUAUAAAAAUGUGUAUAAAUUUCAAUUAUACAACGUACCUAUUUUCUAUAAAUUAUUGUGUACCUAUUUUUAAUUUAUGAAAAAUGUACGAAAAUUUCAAUUACGAAGUAACUGACCUAUUUUUGUCAAAUUUUUUCGGUAAAUAAUAUACCGAUAUUGUUAUAGGUAUAUAUUUAUAUUUAUAUUUUUCAUAUGUGCAUUAUUGGAUAUGUAAUUUACAUAUUAUUUUUUUUAUUUGCAAUUUUAAGGGGCCAUAUGCUAGAGAGAAUGGCAACCGAAAGAAAUGGGGUGAUUGAUAUGCUAUUAAUAGGGAGUUUUAAUUACAAUUAUGGCAGUUAAUGAAAGGCUUGGAAUAAAUUAUAAAUAAAAUAUGAAGUUUGAUGGCAAUGAUGUAAAAACAUAUGAAUACUACGACCUCUUAUAUCCUACUGGUCAUUUAAGUUUGAAAUUGCGUUUUACACAUAAAUUUAUAGAAUGAUGGGUAUAUGCCUGGAAAAAUAGAAUUUGUAGGGCAUAUAUAGUAACAAAGAAAAACAACAAAAUAACAUAGCCCCCGUGCCCCAUUACCUUUGUGUCUCUCUCACCCACAUGGCAUGCAUGGUCUUGUUACCCGUAAACUAGUGGCAGGCAUGCACAGAUGGAUAUAAUUGUGAAUAUAUGCAUAAAGAGUCACAUGUAUACAUACACUCAUCCCUUUCAAUGACCAGGUCAUACCAAUAACAAGGCAUCAAUAUUGGAAGUGGUACACAAGCAUGGGCCAUGCUCUAUAUUCCACAAAUCAUCCAAAACUUCAACCACAAAAAGUGAUGACAAAUACCACGCUCAAAUCCUCAAGCAAGACGAAGCCCGAGUCAACUCAAUCCACUCCCGCCUCAACUACAGAAUCCACGACCCAUUCACCCAAUCCUCCGCCUCCGCCACCCUCCCAGCCAAGUCCGGUCUCCUUCUGGGCUCACCGAACUACUUAGUCACCGUCGGUCUCGGCACACCCGCCAAGCAACUCUCUCUCGAAUUCGACACCGGCAGCGACCUCACCUGGACCCAAUGCCGCCCAUGUCUUCGAUAUUGUUACACACAGAGCGAGCCCAUCUUCGACCCUUCUCUCUCUGCCUCAUACAAAAACUUAUCCUGUACAUCCGCCACGUGUACUCAACUCUCAUCCGCCGGCAUCCCACACCGUUGCUCCUCCGCCUCGUCCUCCUGCCUUUACGGCAUCCGGUACGGUGACGGGUCCUUCUCCAUCGGGGAUUUCGCCAAAGAAAAGCUUACAUUGACCUCCAUGGACGUUUUUGAAGGUUUCCUCUUCGGCUGUGGCCAAGACAACCAAGGCCUUUUCAACGGCUCUGCCGGUUUGCUCGGUCUCGGCCGAAACAACAUCUCCCUCGUAGAACAAACCGCCAUGAAAUACAACCGCUUCUUCUCCUACUGCCUUCCGUCAACUUCCAGCUCCACCGGUCAUCUCACCUUCGGCAACGGAGGAGGCUCCGCUAACGGCGUCAAGUUCACCAAGCUCACCACGUUAUCCGAAAGAGAGUCGUCGUUUUAUGGCCUCGGCCUCACCGGCAUCAGCGUAGGCGGGUGCCAGCUGCCGGUUGCGUCCUCGGUCUUUUCGUCUUCGGGAACCAUCAUCGACUCGGGGACGGUGAUCACGAGGCUGCCGGCGACUGCAUACACGGCUUUGCGGGACGCGUUUCGGGAGGGUAUGAAAAACUACACGAUGACUAUGUCGUUUUCGCUGCUGGACACGUGUUACAAUGUCAGUGGCUACGAGACGGUGUCGUUUCCGGAUAUUGCGUUUGGAUUUGGGGACGGGGUUACGGUGGACUUGGACGCGGCCGGGAUAUUGUUGGCGGUAAGUGAUUCGCAGGUUUGUUUGGCGUUUGCGGGAAACAAGGAUGAUAGUGACAUUGGGAUUAUUGGGAAUGUUCAACAGAAGCGGUUGGAGGUGGUGUAUGACGUGGCUGGUGGAAAAGUCGGAUUUGCCCCUGCAAGUUGCCCCUGAGUAAUGAACAUCGUCCAUGGGGCAUAAUUGUAACACAAACUGCUAGCUAUAGAAUAAAGCAUUGUGUUCCAUAUUUUUCUGUAAUGGGAUUGUAUUGGGAAGUAUCCAAUUCUUACCUUUCCCCACUACUUGUAUAAAAUAGUCUAAUGACCAAUCAAGCGAUAGUAUUUUAUAUAAUAAUAAAAUAAUCGAAUGUAUUGGAAGGAAAAUUCCAACUCAAAUACAAAAAGGGGUUUAUUGCCCUAAUCAAUUCUCCUAACUCACGUAUGUUGUCGGUGUUUUGAAGUAAUGCCACGUGUUAAUGUGCUGUUUCUCUUUUGAAAUAGCAAAAGUAGAACACUAAUCUCCAUCUCCUAGUUUGGGCUUGUUUUGCUUUUGGACUCGACCAGGCCAACUUUAGCACAAAAUGUCUUAAGAAGGACCUAAAAGAAAAUAAAAAAAGAAAAGGUCAAUGAAUUGGGAAGGCUUUGGCUUGGGCUUGGGGUGGUUCAGCUUCAAAUUUUAACCAGUGCCUAGGGUUCAGUGUAUUGGUUUCAGCGGAAAGGCUCGUCAGUCUGCAGUCUGUGUCUUGGGCUGCCUAUCCUUAACUAACCACUUUCUGAUUGCUUUGUGUAUGGGCUUUUUUUUUUCGGCAGCUACAAAUGGGCUAGGCUGCUAUAAGGAGCGAAUUGAUAAAAUUAUCUCUUGUGUUUAAGUUCAAAGAUCAAGCCCCAAGAAUGCUUCUAAAGGAUAGUGAAGCCUUAAGAAACACUUUGGUUACCUUCACCAACAAAAAUAACAACAGCUUACAGAUAAAUUCUUAGCUUGGCAUGAGAAGCUUGUGGCAUGGGAGCUAAGCAUUCAUGAAUUUAGCAUGAGAGAGAGAAAUGAUUGAGAUUUCCUAUGAGAAAUAGAGUUUUUAAGGCAUGAGGGAAGGGAUUCUAAAAGGAUUUGUUGUGGAGAGAGAGGGGGAGAGAGAUGAGGGCAAUGGGUGGCUUAAGUGUUUUUCCACCAGCUUGACAGAGGCUCUGUCAAAUGUUAAAACAGUCUACCAAAAAAGGGAAAAUGGGAGAGAAUGAUGAAUAUAGCACGAAUUUGCUAGGUUUUGCAAGUGAGAGAGGAAGCUUGCUCUCUGGACGUGGUUGUGGCUAGUGGUGGAGUAUUGGGUGUUUUUGGUAGUUUUUCAGCAGCCUGACAAAAGCUUGCCAGAAGAGAAAAUAGAAGGAGAUGGAGGAAUAGGGCACGAAAUUGCAGAGUUUCAGAGAUGAGAGAUGAAGCUUGCUCUCUAGAUGUAGGUUGAGAUAAUUGGUAGGAAAUGCUUCUUUUUAUAGGCAUUAGAAGCUACUUUUUUUCAAGAAACCCUAAUAGUUUCUAUCCAAUUUGGCCAAGCUUUUUUCCUUCAUUUCUUCUCCAUUCCUUUGACUUAUCCUAUUUGGUGAAAUUCUCUCUGCCCAAUUGCACAAAAACAGAGAUUUUGGGAGCUCAAUGCUCUUCUCACAGCUGCCUCAGUAGAGAACUCCCAUUUUCAGCCAUCUUUCUUCCUUCUUUACUCCCCUCUUCUAUGGCUAGAUCUGAUGGGGGGGAAAGAAAUGGGUAUGUACACUGGUUUGAAGGGUGUUUUGCUCAAGUAUCCCUUGGUUUUUCUGAUGGCUUGCGUUGGAUUUGUCUUUGGCCAUGUGCUGGAGAUUCCCAGCAGCCUGCAAAUGUGAGUGGCUUUUGGCUUUUAUCAUGGUUUUGUCUCCAACCAUGUACCGGAGACUUUCAAAUAUUUUGUUGGUCACUUGGGCCAUUCUUUAAGGUAAAGGCGCUAGUUCACUAAAGGGAUGGGCCAACUUCCCAAAGUGAUGGGCUAUCUUUUCUAAGGUAAUGAGCUAUUUUCUCUCCUUUAUGUUUACCCACAUAUUUGGGCUCAAGAAAUGGACUUGAGUUUCGGGAUUCCCAAGCAGCCCAAAACUUCCAUUUCUCAGCUCAUCAAUAGGCCUCAUGAAAGCUCGUAACCAUCUAUACCACAACCCAAUCAGCAAGCCCAAGGCAUUCGCGUGGCUUGGGUCCACUUAAACUUGUAGUGUGGCGUGUUGCUUAUUUGCUUGGCGUGGCACGUGUGCAAGCGUAUAUGAUGAACUCUUGCGUACCUAAAUUAGGUUUCUUCCCAAGUUAGGUGUCGUACUAGGCCGAGAAUUUAUUCGGGCCCAACAGUGGAUUUUUUGAACCUCAACACUUAGGUAGCAAAAAUCAGAGGACACAGAGAGAUAGAGAGAGGGAGACAGCCACAGACCAUCAAGUACUUUAAGUUAGGUUUGAUUCAUGAUAUUAACUGACUCUUAUAUUUGCUUUAAUAUCCAUGUGGAUGAAAUUUAAAAUGUGAUAUCAUGUGGUUAAGUAGUGGUGUAGGAUUUGUCUUUCAAUGGUUUCAACCAAUUUCGUGGAUGUUAAGAUUGAUAUAGGUUGGUUGACAAUAGGUAGAUCGUCCUUAUCGUUUCUAAUCCUAAUAUGACAAUGCCUUAUAUUAAUUUUCUAAUUUUUGGUUGAAUAUCUUAUUUGAACAAAGGCAUCUGAAAAUUUGAUCAUUUUGAUGUGUAGAGGCCAUUGUUACACUUCGCAAAGAAAAAUAAUGUAUAUCUUUUGCUGGACAAAAUUACGCUUAUAUAUAUGUGCUGGCUAGUGUGUUCCAUUUCUUUUUGUUUUGUUAUUUGGCAAAUGUUACACUUUUGUACAGGGGAACAAUACCACCCAUCUUUCCUUUUGAAGUGUUAUUUGAAGAAAAUGAUUUUGAAUGAUUUGAAAGAAUUACAUAUGCACUUUAAAAAAAAUGCAACCUUCAAAAAUACAUCCAAAUAGCUAAAUAAAGUAUUUCUUGUUUGUUUUAUGGGAAAUAUGAAACUUUGCUCCCACAGAUGAUAUUGACGGAGAAAAGAAAGAAUUUUCGUUCCUAAACCAAGAAGAGAAAUCACGUGGGUUUUUGAUCAGAAGAGGAGAUUGGAAUGAGUAGGAGGGUAUUUUAGAAAUUUUCUCCCCACUAAAAAUAUUAUCAAAAUAUUAAAUAGAAAGUUUCUUUUAAAAAAAGAAUAAAAGAUAGAGUCAAAAGUUAUUAACAGCUGGCGUCAUCUCAUUAGGCUGGGACACUGACGUGGACAGCUGACCAUAGCAUACCCAUGGCAGGGAAGUUUUUCUCCAGUGGAGGAGACUGUGCAGAAGAAGAUAGCCUUUUUUCUUAUGCUUUUCUUUCCUCUGCCCUUCUCUUUUCUAACUUGCUAUCAUGGUAUGGUUCUGAGCUUUCUCAUUCUCACGUCUUUGUUGUUGUAAUUCUAUCUGAGAAAUUUAUAAAAUUCUUCUCUGUAUUCUUUUUGGUCAGUUGGGUGAGUGCUGUUUGAUUGCCUUGUUGCUUUUUUUCUUCCCUGAUCUAGGGUUUAGGGUUUCAAACAUUUUAUUGAGCUUGAAGAGGAAGUGAUGAUGAUAAAGCAAGGACCUUUUGAUAAAGAUUACUACUUCCUGAUGUGGGCCUUUGACCAUAGAAAGAGAUCAGAUAAAGCAAGGAAAUGGGAGAAAAUAUACGCCCUUUGGCAUUUGAUGGUCCUUGUUGCUUGCUUGUAAGUUGUAAUUGUCGGUGAGCAGGCUUAGCUAAAGAGAGUAAAGGAAAGCAACAGUGAGAGAGAGAACUCUCCCUCCUCUCUUUUCCACACUUUCUCUCUCCAUCUUCUUUUCUUUAUCUCCUUUACUUUGCCACACCCAAAGCAAUACUUACUAAACUAACUAAUCCAAAAUGAUUAUUAAUUUAUUAACUGGGGUUAAUUGCUGCAGCCUUCAUCCCAAAGCAAUACUUACUAAACUAACUAAUCCACAGGCUUCUUGUGAGGCAAUCUUUUCUCUUAUUCAAUUACCCCAGUUAAUAUGAAACUGUUGAAAUCAAUAUUUAUAUAAAUACAAUUGCGAAAAAAUAUUUACGAAAUUUUGUAAGUAAUACGUAGAGCACGUGAUUUAAAAAAAAUAUCUCACAUAUGAGAAAGCGCGUACAAAAAGACUAAUAAAACAUAAACAAAAAGGAUAAUCCUCAAGGGGAGCCACUAAUUAUUGAUCAUAUACCAGACAACUCCCAUCUUUAUAUAACUUCCAUUUUCAUUUUUCUUUUAAUUUUGUAAUUUGUAAUUUGGAUUUUUGGGAGGUGGAGUGGGAUAAGAAUUAUAGGGUGCGGUUCGUGUACCUAGGAAACCGCCACGUUCUUUCUUUAGGAAAUUUGGGAUAAAGUUAAAAAAACAUAAGUUGGGAGGUAGUGAAAUUAAAAGCAAGGCCAUGUGUUUCAUGAAUCAAAAUCAGACAGUUUUGUGUCCCAGUGAUGCAGAGAUAUAUACAAAUAUCAUUUAGACUUUUGCUUUUGGGCUUUGAUCAGGAUCUGAUCCGUUAUCUCAUCACCUUUUUUUUUUCUUUUUCCUUUUUUUACUCUUCAGUUUCUGCAUGUGCGUUACACUAACAUCAUUACUAAUCUCCUUUUUAUCUAAGCUGUCUUUCUGUAAAGGUAACACUGAUAUUCCUUCCCCAUAAUUCAAAGAAAAAAGGAGUUUGAGAUGUGGAAAUAUGGAUUCCCGAAUCAAAACUUUUUGAUUUUGUUAACGAUUAUAGUGGGCCCAUCAGUACUGGGAAUUUGUCUGCUUAUUUUGAAUUGAAAGCUACCUCUUGUUGGAAAACCUUAAAAGUUGUUUCUUUCCAAGCCCACUUACACUUGCUGUGUAAACUAAUGAAGUCUACAUGAAAGCAAUCUCAUGUCCUAUUGUGUAUAUGCAUGUGCUUAAUUGGUGUAUAUUCUGUAGUACCACAACAGAAUGUUUAACAUUCAAUUGGGGCUAAUUCCAUGAUAGAGUGGUAAUUGAACAGUAUCAAUACAUCAAUAAGUGCACAGUUGGGUAUACACAAUGAUCAAAAGGAGACAAAACAUAACAGCGGUUUAAGUGUUUCAUAAGAGAGUAAAAUAGAAGAAAUUGAGAACUGUUCAUAAGCAAAUCUGCCCAUUCAUAAGCAUACGUCUAAUUAUAAAAUCAAAGAACAAGAUACUGAAUAAAAAUAAAGUGAGAAAGAGAGAUUGUUAAAUGCUCUCAGCAACCAAUCAUAUUGUAAAAUGAGAAAGAGAGAUGAUUGUCGUCAAACCUUGCUACAACGGCCGAGAUCUUUGGAUCCACUAGAAUCUCCCCUUUCAGCUUCAACCCCAGAUAUUUCUUUGUCUUUGUACCUCUCAACCUUGAAAGCCCUUGGAACAAGGUGGUUCUAUAUACCAGACAAAAGAAACCAAUUAUCAAAUUUAAUCAGAAACUCACAUUACCAACAAACAAAACCCAGCUAUCCAAAAAAAUUCAAGAAACCAAAAGACAAAGGGAAUAGAAAAAGCAAACUGACAUUUGAUUUCAAAAUCCCCAAUUUCUAGGGUUUGAACUGAUGAGAGCGAGGAGGAGAGAUGGACGAAAAGAUAGAGAGAGAGAGAGAGAGAGAGAGAGAGAGCACGCGAGCUUCAAGCUUCUCCCAUGGAAGCUAGCUUGAGUGAGAACCAGUAGCACAGAGCGAACCAGCAGAUCCAACGACAAGAGAAAAAAAAUUCAAGAAAAACGCAUUUGUUUUGUUUUGAAUAAUAAGGGUCUUUUUGCAAAUGACCCCAUUGGUGUAGUGGUUUGGAGUAUUUACUCCCUCAGACAAGGUCUUGGAUUCGAGUCCUAGCAUCCGCAUAGUGUGUGUGAGUUUAGUAUGCUAUCGCCCCUCUCAAUGAGUCCUGUUUACCUGUUACCAAAGUUCCUGUGGCCUCCUGUUUCCCUGCUAGUUUCGUGACAUGUGGCAAGCCACUUAACACCACUUAACUCUGUUAACUCUUUUUGCUUCUUUUUAUUGUUUGUUUUUUUUGCUUUUUCUCCCAGUUCUGCCCCUUGAGGGUUUAGGGUUUAGGGUUUAGAGCUGGUGUUUCGGCUCGAGUCCAUGUGUUGUUUUGGGCUGGUAAGGGAAAAAUGAGCGGAAAAGAUAAGAGAAGGUAGGGAAAAAGGGGGUGAAGGAGAAACUAAAAAAAGAAAUAAAAAAGGAGAUGAGAGAAAAAGAAAAACAAAGCAAAAGCAAAAGCAAAAAAAAAAAAGAAGAGAGAGAGAGAGAGAGAGAGAGAGAGAGAGAGAGAGAGAGAGAGAAUGUGGAGGUAGAGAUCUGGAAAAGAUAACAAAAAAAGAAGAAGAGGAGAGGAGACGACGGAGGGAGGGGGAGAGAAGAGAGAAAGGGGCAUAACAGGGAGAAAAAGAAAAAAAGAAAAAAAAAGCAAAAAGAAGCAAAAAGAGUAAACAAAGUUAAGUGGUUUUAAGUGGCUUGCCACAUGUCAUGAAAUUAGCAGGGAAACAGGGGGCACAGGAACUUUAGUAACAGGUAAAUCGGACUCCCUCUCAAUAGGAAAUAUCCACAAAACACAAAAGAAAAAAAGGUCUUUUAAAAUUUGUUUUGGAAUUGGAUUUUUAAAAAUAGACCUACCAAACGAGUUUUUGGGCUUUUGAAUUUAAAAUCAGUUUUUGAGUUUAUAAAAUUGGACUCAAAUCAAAUACCAAACAGACCCUUAAAGACUUAAUGUUUUCUUAAAAUAUUGCGUUUGUUUAUUUUAUAGAGUACAAUUAUAUGUUUUAAAUAAUUUUCAAAUUAUCUAAUAUUUUUUAAGAAUCAACUGUAAAUUAUGCCUGACGGUGAAAAUACAAUUUACCUCAAAAAUAACUAAUUAUUUGACGUUAUUUGACGUGUUGAGAAGGCUAAAUAUGGAGUCUACAGAAGUCUAGAGAGACUUGACUAGUUGACAUCCCUGUCUCCAAUUAGCCUAUAUAGGGCCAAGAGUAUGCUUACAUUACAGCAGCAACUCAAUAAUCUAGAGGCACUCUUGUUAAUUAUUCAUGGCAACUCCCAUUAUUUCUAGCUCCUCCUUCCUUAGGUUUUUCAUGGCUUUCUUCUCUGUAUUUCUAUGCCUAAGUCUCUGCUCUUUCGAGAACGGAUUUGCUUUGGCAGCAAGAGAUACAAAACCCCACCCUCUCCCACAUACCACUCACACAGUUGAAGUGAAGUCUCUUCUACCAGCAACCACCUGCAGCCCCUCCACCAAAGGUUAAUUCAUCCCAUAUUAUAUAUAUAUAUUAAUUUCAAACCCCAUUUUAUGUGCAUUUAUGUAUCUCUAACACACACACACACACUCUGUCUCUGUCUCUCUCUCUCUCUCUCUCUCUCUCUCUCUCUCUCUCUAUGCAUACAUGUUUCAAUGAUCUCAGGUCAUAACAUUAACAAGGCAUCAUCGGUACUGAAAGUGGUGCACAAACAUGGGCCAUGCUCCAAUUUCCACAAAUCAUCAAAAACUUCAACCACAACUUGUGAUGAAAAAUACCAUGCUCAAAUCCUCAAGCAAGACCAAGCCCGAGUCAACUCAAUCCACUCCCGCCUCAACCACAACAACAACAAAGACCCACUCACCCAAUCCGCCGCCACCACCCUCCCCGCCAAGUCUGGUCUCGUUAUCGGCACAGGGAACUACAUUGUCACCGUCAGCCUCGGUACACCCGCCAAGCAACUCUCCCUCGCCUUCGACACCGGCAGCGACCUCACCUGGACCCAAUGCAAGGCAUGUUCUGCUACUCAGUCUUGUUACAAACAGAGAGAGCCCAUCUUCAACCCUUUUCUCUCCGCCUCAUACAAAAAAAUCUCAUGUACCACCGCCGCGUGUACUCAGCUCUCAUCCAUCGGCGUCCAACACGGCUGCUCCGCCUCCACCUCCGCCUGCCUCUACGGCACCCGUUACGGAGACAACUCCUUCUCUGUCGGGGUCUUUGGCAGCGAAAAGCUUACAUUGACCCCGACGGACAUUUUUGAAGGUUUCCUCUUCGGCUGCGGCCUAAAGAACAAAGGCCUUUUCGGCGGCUCUGCCGGUAUGCUCGGUCUCGGCCGGAGCAACACCUCCAUCGUCGAACAAACCGCCAAUAAAUACAACCGGUACUUCUCCUACUGCCUCCCCUCCACCUCGUGCUCCACCGGCUACCUCAGCUUCGGCAAAGGCGGCAGAUCUUCCAAUGCCGUCAAGUUCACGGCCCUCUCCACCGUCCCCCUAGGCCACUCGUUUUACGGCCUCAAUGUCGUCGGGAUCAACGUCGGCGGAACUAAAUUGCCGAUUUCGUCUUCGGUCUUUUCGUCUUCGCGGACAAUCAUAGAUUCCGGAACGUUGAUCACGCGCCUGCCGCCGACGGCGUACAACGCGUUGAAGGCGGCGUUUCGUCAGAGGAUGAAGAGCUAUCCGCUGACUCAGGCGGUCUCGAUACUCGACACUUGCUACAACUUGAGCAGCUUCAAAACGGUGUCGUAUCCGAAGAUUUCGUUCGUGUUUGACGGCGGGCUUACGCAGGAGUUGGACGCGACGGGGAUACUGUACGGGGUGAGCGCGGAUCAGGUUUGCUUGGCAUUUGCCGGAAACAUGGAUGACAGUGAGGUUGGGAUUAUUGGGAAUGUUCAACAGAGGAGGUUGAAGGUUGUGUAUGACGUCGCUGGAGGAAAAGUCGGAUUUGCCCCUGCAGGUUGCGCUUGAGUAAUGACGAUCGUCCAUGGGGUAUGAUUGUAAUACAAACAGCUUGCUAGCUAUAGAAUAAAUCAUAUUUCUGUGUAAUGUAAAUUUUGUGUGUUGGUAAGUCUGUGUCUCCUGGUUUUCUUUUUUAGGUUCUUAUUCUUAUUUUCUAAAUACUAGCCUCUUUGCACUCGCUUCCGCACUUGCAAAAGAUUUUUUUUAAAAAAAAUUUUAAAUUAUUUUAGAAUUAAAAAAGAUAAUGGGUAGUUGUGUUCCAUAAAAAUAGGAUCUUUUAUCUGUUUUUUUUUUUAAUUUUAAUUUUUAAUGUUUGCGUUAACCAAGGGUAUUUCUGACAUUUUGAAUGUUUCACCAUUCUCUGCCUUUUGCUUUAUAUAUAUAGAUAUAUUUAAGAUAAACCCAAAUUCGAAAUAUGCUGUCAUUUAAGAUAAUAUUUGUCCUAGUAUUAUCAAUUAAAUUACAAUAUGUGCCAUUAACCUUCAUUAAUUCCUUCGUUUCAUUGCAACUGUACUUUGAUUCUUUUCCUAAUAAACAGUGUAUAGUCUCUUGGAUAUGGAUGCACCCUUCCUGGCCUUAAAUUUGUAUUGAUUUCAUAAAAAGUAAUAAUAAAAAUCAUUUAUGUACUCAUUGGGAUUUUUAUUAUUAUAUAUAAAUGGCAUGUAUAUUAUUUUUACAAUGUACUUACAAUGUUGCUCAUUUCUAAAUAAAAAUAAUUUACUGAUGGUAACCUAUUAUAUUUUAUUCAUUAUAGGUAAAUUAUGUAUUUUUAAAAAGAGGUACGUUAUCUUUUAUUGAUAAUGUCAAUUUACCUGCUAUCUCUUAUCUAUAAUAAUUUACCUAUUAUCUUUUAUUCAUAAUAGGUAAAUUAUUUUUAUAAAAUACUAGCCUCUCUGCACGCGCUUCCGCGCAUGCGAGAGGUUUUUUUAAAAAAAAUUUAAAAUUUAUUUUAGAAUUAAAAAAGAUAAUGGAUAUUUGUGUUCUAUAAAAAUAGGAUCCAUUAUCUGAAUUUUCUUUUAAUUUUAAUUUUUUUAAUACAAAAAAUUGUGAAUUUACCAUAUUAUCCUGAUUUAAUUAAUAAUUUCAAUUCUUAAUGUUUGCAUUAAUCAAGGGCAUUUUUUGGUAUUUUGAAUGUUUCACCAUUCUCUGCCUUUUGCUUUAUAUAUAUAGAUUAGGUACAUUAUUUUCAAAAGUGCUUUAAAUAAAUUGGGUAUAUUAUUUAAAUCAUAAGUAAAUUCAUAACCAAAACUGAUGCAUAAAGAGUACUAGCCCCUUGGCACAUGCUCACGCAUGUGCCAAUUGGUUUUCUUUUUAUUUUUUAUUUUUAUUUUUAGAAUUAAAAAAAAUAACUGGGUAGUUAUGUUCCAUAAAAAUAGGACCUAUUAUCUUAUUUUGUUUUUAAUUUUAAUUUUUUUAAUAUUAAAAAGUGUGAAUUUACGAUAUUAUCCUCAUUUAAUUAAUAAUUUCAAUUCUUAAUGUUUGAAUUAACAAAGGGCAUUUUCUGGUAUUUUGAAUGUUUCACCAUUCUCUGCCUUUUGCUUUAUAUAUAUAGAUUAAAUUGCAGUUUUUUUUAUUUAUUUAAAGUAUUGAAUUGCACGCUAAUUCUGUGGGAGAAAAUUAAAACAAUAAAUUCAAAAACUAAGACUUAAUAUACCCACCACAUAACACAUGAACUUGUAAAUAAUGGUAGUUUUGGAAUCUGAAAAAUAUAAUAAAUUAUAUUUUAAGUUAGAUUAGGUAACUUACAUAUUUGAAUCCUAGUCAUCAGGUUUUAUUUGAAAAAAUUGAAUAUUUUAAAUAGAAAAAUAAAGAGAAGGACUAUAGGUGAUUAAAAAUGAAUUUUAUGGGUCUAAGUUCAAUUUACUUUUUUUAAAAAAUAUAACAUUUUUGUUGUAAAAAGCAAAGAGAAGACAAUAUAAUUUUUAUUUUUGUAAAUGUUCUUAACAACUUGAACAACAACAACCAUGUCCUAGUUUUGUUUGGGCUUGAAAUAGUUUGGACCUAAAUUGUGUUUUGUUUUUGUAUUGAACCAAGCCAAUCUGAGCCCAUAAUGUCUGAAGAAAGAACCAAUUAGUGAACAUUCCAAAGUUUGGUGAACGGAUAUAGUUAAACUGAUUGUUUGAUUAGCUUAACUAUGGACUCUGUUGACUCAUUGACUUUGGGACCCAUGAGUAGUCGUGACUAGGAACAGAAACGCAUGCAUGCAGUACCUUCCUUCCAAACUCCAAGUCCACUUGGCAUUAUAUAGACAGAGGGAACCUUCUUCCUUUCAUUAUAUUUUUUUGUCUUUGCCUUGUAGUUCCUUCGGUUUCAGGCAACACAGAAUUCACGGGUGAAAGAUAAUUAACGUAAGAGAACGGGUGGUGGACAAAGUCGAUCGACCAGAAACAAAACAACAAAAAUUUAAUGGGUUACAGCGGGGGUGUGAACGUUUUGAGAACGAUGGUAUGGAGCAGAUGCUAGAAAAUUAAACCCUCCAAAUAGUUUAUAUAAGGCUUGUUAGGCUUGCUAGGCUUGUUAACCAUAUUCAUUUCUAGCUCCUCCUCUUUCCUUAGGUUUUUUAAUGGGUUUCUGCUCUGUAUUUCUGUUCCUAAUUCUCUGCUCUUUCGAUAAGGACAUUGCUCUGGCAGCAACAAGUCCAGAACCCCACCUUCUGCCACACACUACUCACACAGUUGAAGUAAACUCUCUUCUACCAGCAACCACCUGCACCCCCUCCACCAAAGGUUAAUUCAUUUCAAACCCCAUUUUAAUUACGUGCAGUACGCAUCUCUCUCUCUCUCUCUCUCUCUCUCUCUCUCUCUCUCUCUCUCUCUCUCUCUCUCUCUCUCUCUCUCUCUCUCUCUAUAUAUAUAUAUAUACAAGACUAGAGUUUAAUUACGUGCAGGACGUAUUUCGUUAGGCCUUGCUAUAUAGGCUGUUAAUUCCAAUGGCGCAUGGGACUAGAGUUUGCUAUUAUAUACAUAUACUGUGAAAUUCCCUCUAAUAUUCAUAUGCAUAGAAAAACAUACAAUUUUUUUUUUUUUAAGUUUAGCACAUUAAACUUAUACACACUAUACAAAUGCUAUGAUUCGAACUUAUAACCUUUCAUAAAAAUACAAUUGUUCUAAAUCACUACACUAGUUGAUCAUUUUCUUUUUAAAAACACACACACACACACAUAAAGAACCCCGUGUUUGGCAAAAAAAAACAAAGGCUUCUUAGAUCUAGGUCCAAAACGAUUAGUUAUCGUUGGGUUUGGUCCGCGUGUUUUUGGUUUUAGAUGCAGGUCCUUUGAUAUUUAUUAUUUUUUUUAUUGUGUCGAUUUUACCCUUUGAGGUAAAUAAGGCAAACACAUUUAAAAUCUAAAUUUAAUGCAUUAUUUCCUUAUAAUUGAAUUUCUUAAUUUAAAUUUUGAAUUCUUUCCUUUAUAAUAUUUACCUAAUAUAUGCAUAAAAUACAAUUUAAUCAAUGAAAAGUAAAGACCCACAUAUUAUAUCAAUCGAUUAGACAAACACCCAUAUGAAUUUAUGUAUCUAACAUAUAGGUAAAUAGUGUUAUUAUUAGCAACGAAAAAAAUGUAAUGAUAAAUCGUGUUACCUAUAAGUUAGGAACUUAAAUUAAAAGACUGCAUAUAAGUUAGGAACAUAAAUUAGAAUACUAUCAAUAAGGUAGAUACAAAAAUAGACAAAUAAAAAUUGUAUGUUACCUAUAAAAAAUAUGUAAAUAAAAUACUAUUAUACAUUGUCGAAAAUAUGAAAAAACACAUAUAUAUACCUAUGCAGUAGGCAAUAGAACAAUAUACCUACACUAUAGGAUUUCUAUUAUAUAUAUCUACAAGAGUAUGUAAUAUACCUCUACUAUAGUGUGAACAAAAAUAAAAAUUGUUACCUAUAACUCAAGUACUAAACGAUGUGUUUGCAAAUUGAUCUGGUUUUUCCUUGCAUGCAUCGAUUGGAAAUCGCAGAAAUACGUAGGUAGUUGUUUUAGAGGGAAAUGCCGUUUUGGAUCAUUAUUGAUCCUUUGUGUCUUACAAUAUAAAUUUAGCAAAUGAAUGUCAUCAUCCAUCACUACCUCUCUUUGAUCUGCUCUUGCAUGUGAUGUAUGUUUCCGUGUGCAUACAGAGGUACUAAAAGUUCCACAAUCAAAGCUUUGGUGGACAAUGUAUAAUAGUUUGUAACAACGUAAUUUUUGGGAUAUGCUUGCGAUUUUUUUUUCGUUUCUAUUCAAUGACAAACGUUAUAAAUGGCUAAUUAUUAUCACAUAAAGUACUAUUACCCAAUUCAAAGUAUAAGGGGCAACAUUGGAACAAAAAAUGAUUUUAAAAAAUUAAAAUUAAAAAGAUUAAAAAAGGAAUGUACUUCUAUGUGGCACAAAAGUCAAAGGACUUGUAUCAAAGUCACCAAAUCCGAGGAUUAAACCCAAUUUUUCAACGAAAAUUUGAAUCUAUAUCAACUUUUCUAUAAAAAAAAACCUAAACCAAAUUUACUCUAUUAAAUUUUUUUUUUUUAAACAUAGCCCGUGCCCCAUUACCUUUGUGUCUCUGUCACCCACAUGACAUGCAUGUUCUAGUUACCCGUAAACUGGAGGCAGGCAUGCACAGUCGGAUAGAAUUGUGAAUAUAUGCAUAAAGAGUCACAUGUAUACAUACGCUCAUACAUUUCAAUGACCAGGUCAUACCAAUGACAAGGCAACAAUAUUGGAAGUGGUACACAAGCAUGGGCCAUGCUCUAUUCUCCACAAAUCAUCCAAAACUUCAACCACAAAAAGUGAUGACAAAUACCACGCUCAAAUCCUCAAGCAAGACGAAGCCCGAGUCAACUCAAUCCACUCCCGCCUCAACUACAGAAUCCACGACCCAUUCACCCAAUCCGCCGCCGCCACCACCCUCCCAGCCAAGUCCGGUCUCCCUCUGGGUACAGGAAACUACUUAGUCACCCUCGCUCUCGGCACGCCGGCCAAGCAACUCUCCCUCGUCUUCGACACCGGCAGCGACCUCAC
rnacentral:lncRNA from 1 species